rnacentral:rRNA from 1 species
AAAUCUGCCUGAAGAUAGCAGUGGCAGUAGAGAGGUGGGUGGAAAUUUCCUGGGUAGCGGAUGAAAUGCGUAGAUAUAUGCAAGGAACACCCAUGUGGCGACAGGCGAUACACAUGGCAUGAUACUGACACUCAGCUGCGAAAGCGUGCGGGAGCAGAACAGGAUUAGAUACAGGUGGUAGAUACCCGCCGUAGUACGAUGUCAUACUAGCCGGAUGGGAGUCUUGAUAUCUCAGUGAGGCAGAGUGACGCAAUUAAGUAGACCGCAGUGGGAGUCCGGGCGCAAGGUUAAACACUCGAAUGAAUUGACAGGAGUCCGCACAAGUCGGUGGCACAUGGUGUUUCAUGUGAUGCAACUCGAAGAUACCUUACCUGGCCUUUGACAUGCUGAGAACUUUCUAGAGAUAGAUUGAGACGUACGGGUACUCAGACACAGAUAACACAUGGCUGUAGUCAGCUCGUCUCGUGAGAUGUUGAGUUAAUUCCCUUAACGAGCGCAACCCUGCUCCUUAUUUACCAGCGCGUUAUGGCGGGAACUUUAAGGAUAUUGCCGGUGACAAUCCGGAAGAAGGUGGGGAGGAGGUCAAGUCAUCAUGUCCUCUAGGGCCAGGGCUACACACCACACCAAUGGUCGGUACAAAGGGUCAGCAAGCCGCGAGGUGGAGCUAAUACCAUAAACUCGAUCGUAGUCCGGAUCGCAGUUCCAACUCGCAUCUGUGAAGUCGGAAUCGCUAGUAAUCAGAAUCAGAAAUCAGCCAAAAUACGUUCCCGGGCCUCGUACACACCUCCCCUCACACCAUCAAACCGGGAAGCCAGAAGUAGUUAAUCUAACAACCGCAAGACGGCUACCACUGAGUUCUCUAUGCU